AUCAAAGAGGAGGAACUUUAUACUGUGAUUCAAUGAAGUGUAGUGUUUUUACUUAAAUAUUGCUUAUUCGGUUUUGAAGGAGUGAAAAAAUGCAGAAAACUUGAGGAACAUAAGAUAUGUGACAUUACAGAGGCUCUUCGGUCCUGGAGAGUUGAUAAGUCUGUUUUUCCAGUUGAAGAUCAGCGUGUGUGAACCUUCUUCCAAAGCAGGAAACUUUAAAUGGACUUCCAGCAAGUGCUGAGCUGCAGGGCUUUACAUAUCAGCAGUGCCACUGAAAUCAGCAGAAAAUUUGUGGAACAAGACGUUGAAGAUCUUUCCCUAAUCAGAGAAGGUAACAGAACUAGUCUUAGUGAAGAAAGCUGUGACAGAGCAGGAAAACCCAUCUGACUGUGUGCUUUUCAAUCUCUUUAUUCUUUCCUAAUAUGUUUUUCUUUAUCAUCAUCCACUUAACCUCCAGAGUGUUGUCUUCUAAUUCUGCUGUCACUUUUGACCUCAUUUUAC
rnacentral:lncRNA from 1 species